UACGUAGGGUGCAAGCGUUGUCCGGAAUUAUUGGGCGUAAAGAGCUCGUAGGCGGUUUGUCGCGUCUGCUGUGAAAACGCGAGGCUCAACCUCGCGCCUGCAGUGGGUACGGGCAGACUAGAGUGCGGUAGGGGAGAUUGGAAUUCCUGGUGUAGCGGUGAAAUGCGCAGAUAUCAGGAGGAACACCGGUGGCGAAGGCGGUUCUCUGGGCAUUACCUGACGCUGAGGAGCGAAAGUGUGGGGAGCGAACAGG
rnacentral:rRNA from 1 species